GACGAACGCUGGCGGCGUGCUUAACACAUGCAAGUCGAACGGAAAGGCCUGCUUUCCCUUGUGGAUUGCGGGUACUCGAGUGGCGAACGGGUGAGUAACACGUGGGUGAUCUGCCCCCAACUUGGGUAUAAGCCUGGGAAACUGGGUCUAAUUCCCGAUAGGACUUGAGGGGGGUGGCUUUGGUGGAAAACGAUUUUCUUGUGGUUGGGGAUGAGCUCGCGGCCUAUCAGCUUGUUGGUGGGGUAAUGGCCUACCAAGGCGGCGACGGGUAGCCGGCCUGAGAGGGUGGACGGCCACAUUGGGACUGAGAUACGGCCCAGACUCCUACGGGAGGCAGCAGUGGGGAAUAUUGCACAAUGGGCGGAAGCCUGAUGCAGCGACGCCGCGUGGGGGAUGACGGCCUUCGGGUUGUAAACUCCUUUCGACCGCGAGGAAGCCACCUGGUUGGAAGGGUGGUGACGGUAGUGGUAGAAGAAGCACCGGCUAACUACGUG
rnacentral:rRNA from 1 species